CGGUUGAUCCUGCCGGACCCUACUGCUAUCGGGGUAGGACUAAGACAUGCGAGUCGAGCGUCUCUAAAGCCAUGUUAAAGACGCGGCGUACGGCUCAGUAACACGUGGCUAACCUACCCUUAGGACGGGGACAACCCCGGGAAACUGGGGCUAAUACCCGAUAGAUGAGGAGGCCUGGAAUGGUUCCUAGUCAAAAAGGCGUUGAAACCAUGCUUUUCGACGUCGCCUAAGGAUGGGGCCGCGCCCGAUCAGGUUGUUGGUGGGGUAACGGCUCACCAAGCCUAUAACCGGUACGGGCCGUGAGAGCGGGAGCCCGGAGAUGGGCACUGAGACAAGGGCCCAGGCCCUACGGGGCGCAGCAGUCGCGAAAACUCCGCAAUGCGCGAAAGCGUGACGGGGCUACCCCGAGUGCCGUCCGCUGAGGAUGGCUUUUCCCCGGUGUAAUGAGCCGGGGGAAUAAGGAGAGGGCAAGUCUGGUGUCAGCCGCCGCGGUAAUACCAGCUCUCCGAGUGGUAGGGAUGAUUAUUGGGCUUAAAGCGUCCGUAGCCGGCUUAGCAAGUCUCCUGUUAAAUUCAGCGACCUAAUCGUUGAGCCGCGGGAGAUACUACUAGGCUAGGAGGCGGGAGAGGCCGACGGUAUUCUCGGGGUAGGGGUGAAAUCCUAUAAUCCCGGGAGGACCACCAGUGGCGAAGGCUGUCGGCUAGAACGCGCUCGACGGUGAGGGACGAAAGCUGGGGGGGCGAACCGGAUUAGAUACCCGGGUAGUCCCAGCUGUAAACGAUGCGGGCUAGGUGUUGGGGUGGCUACGAGCCACUUCAGUGCCGCAGGGAAGCCAUUAAGCCCGCCGCCUGGGGAGUACGGCCGCAAGGCUGAAACUUAAAGGAAUUGGCGGGGGAGCAC
rnacentral:rRNA from 1 species